CAGUAGCCGCGGGAAUACGUAGGGUGCAAGCGUUAAUCGGAAUUACUGGGCGUAAAGCGUGCGCAGGCGGUUUGUUAAGACAGAUGUGAAAUCCCCGGGCUCAACCUGGGAACUGCAUUUGUGACUGGCAGGCUAGAGUAUGGCAGAGGGGGGUGGAAUUCCGCGUGUAGCAGUGAAAUGCGUAGAGAUCGGGAGGAACAUCAGUGGCGAAGGCGGCCAUCUGGGACAACACUGACGCUGAGGCACGAAAGCGUGGGGAGCAAACAGGAUUAGAGACCCGCGUAGUCCCUGUCUCUUAUAC
rnacentral:rRNA from 1 species